GAUGAACGCUGGCGGCGUGCCUAAUACAUGCAAGUCGAGCGAACAGACGAGGAGCUUGCUCCUCUGACGUUAGCGGCGGACGGGUGAGUAACACGUGGAUAACCUACCUAUAAGACUGGGAUAACUUCGGGAAACCGGAGCUAAUACCGGAUAAUAUAUUGAACCGCAUGGUUCAAUAGUGAAAGACGGUUUUGCUGCCACUUAUAGAUGGAUCCGCGCCGCAUUAGCUAGUUGGUAAGGUAACGGCUUACCAAGGCAACGAUGCGUAGCCGACCUGAGAGGGUGAUCGGCCACACUGGAACUGAGACACGGUCCAGACUCCUACGGGAGGCAGCAGUAGGGAAUCUUCCGCAAUGGGCGAAAGCCUGACGGAGCAACGCCGCGUGAGUGAUGAAGGUCUUCGGAUCGCAAAACUCUGUUAUUAGGGAAGAACAAAUGUGUAAGUAACUAUGCACGUCUUGACGGUACCUAAUCAGAAAGCCACGGCUAACUACGUG
rnacentral:rRNA from 1 species